UAGGGAAUCUUCCGCAAUGGACGCAAGUCUGACGGAGCAACGCCGCGUGAGUGAAGAAGGAUUUCGGUUCGUAAAACUCUGUUGUUAGAGAAGAACAGCGCAUAGAGUAACUGUUAUGCGUGUGACGGUAUCUAACCAGAAAGCCACGGCUAACUACGUGCCAGCAGCCGCGGUAAUACGUAGGUGGCAAGCGUUGUCCGGAUUUAUUGGGCGUAAAGCGAGCGCAGGCGGUCAAUUAAGUCUGAUGUGAAAGCCCCCGGCUCAACCGGGGAGGGUCAUUGGAAACUGGUUGACUUGAGUGCAGAAGAGGAGAGUGGAAUUCCAUGUGUAGCGGUGAAAUGCGUAGAUAUAUGGAGGAACACCAGUGGCGAAGGCGACUCUCUGGUCUGUAACUGACGCGGAGGUUCGAAAGCGUGGGUAGCAAACAGG
rnacentral:rRNA from 1 species